rnacentral:rRNA from 1 species
UACGUAGGUGGCAAGCGUUGUCCGGAAUUAUUGGGCGUAAAGCGCGCGCAGGCGGUCCUUUAAGUCUGAUGUGAAAGCCCACGGCUCAACCGUGGAGGGUCAUUGGAAACUGGGGGACUUGAGUACAGAAGAGAAGAGUGGAAUUCCUGGUGUAGCGGUGAAAUGCGCAGAUAUCAGGAAGAACACCCGUGGCGAAGGCGGCUCUCUGGGACGGUACUGACGCUGAGACGCGAAAGCGUGGGGAGCGAACAGG